rnacentral:rRNA from 1 species
UUGGACAAUGGGCGAACAGCCUGAUCCAGCAAUGCCGUCGUGCAGGAAGAAGGCCUUCGGGUUGUAAACUGCUUUUGUACGGAACGAAACGGUCCUUUCUAACAAAGAGGGCUAAUGACGGUACCGUAAGAAUAAGCACCGGCUAACUACGUGCCAGCAGCCGUCGGCUAAUACGUAGGGUGCGAGCGUUAAUCGGAAUUACUGGGCGUAAAGCGUGCGCAGGCGGUUCUACUAAGACAGAUGUGAAAUCCCCGGGCUCAACCUGGGAAUGGCAUCUUGUGACGAUGUAGAGCCAGAGUACGGUAGAGGGGGAUGGAAUUCCGCGUGUAGCAGUGAAAUGCGUAGAUCAUGCGGAGGAACACCGAUGGCGAAGGCAAUCCCCUGGACCUGUACUGACGCUCAUGCACGAUAAGUCGUGGGGAGCAAACAGGAUUAGAUACCCUGUGUUAAGUCCACGCCCUAAACGAUGUCAACUGGUUGUUGGGUGCAUUAGUACUCAGUAACGAAGCUACCGUGAGUGACCGCCUCAAGAUAUACCCAUAAUUACUAACAUUGCAAUUGGCUCAGUAUUACGCGACACUGUCUACCUGUCGCCUCUCAUCGCGCCAACACAAUCUUGUCCCAUCCUUCAGUGUGUGCUUCUCAAUUACGCUCGGUCACUGUUCGUCGUAAUUAUAAUUGUCAUAUUGUUGGCAUAUACCUUACUAUCUCGUCCUACACAGAACCAACCCAGAUGCGGGAACCUCCA